rnacentral:rRNA from 1 species
AGAGUUUGAUUAUGGCUCAGGAUGAACGCUGGCGGCGUGCUUAACACAUGCAAGUCGAACGAAGCAACUAUCUUGCUGCAAGAGAGUUGACUUAGUGGCGGACGGGUGAGUAACGCGUGGGUAACCUGCCUCAUACAGGGGGAUAACAGUUGGAAACGACUGCUAAGACCGCAUAACCCGCUAGUGUCGCAUGACACGGACGGAAAAUAUUUAUAGGUAUGAGAUGGGCCCGCGUCUGAUUAGCUAGUUGGUAAGGUAACGGCUUACCAAGGCGACGAUCAGUAGCCGACUUGAGAGAGUGAUCGGCCACAUUGGGACUGAGACACGGCCCAAACUCCUACGGGAGGCAGCAGUGGGGAAUAUUGGACAAUGGGGGAAACCCUGAUCCAGCCGACGCCGCGUGAGUGAAGAAGUAUUUCGGUAUGUAAAGCUCUAUCAGCAGGGAAGAUAAUGACAGUACCUGACUAAGAAGCCCCGGCUAACUACGUGCCAGCAGCUGC